CUUUUUUUCUAGGCAGAAGAUACAGAGUUAUCAGAUUUUCAAAGGAACAUGUGACCUAUAAAAAAGGUAAGCAGCACUGCUCAAGUCACUAAACCUCCACCGACAGGCAGUUUUAAUCACAAGGAGUCUGAACGCUUUAUUGCCAAAGAAAUGGCAAGACAGGAAGGACUGACUGGCCCAGAGCCACACAGCAGGCUUGUGGCAGAGCUAGCAUCUACAUCUGAAAUUCAGAUGAUGUUCUUUCUGAUAUAUCAAGGGUCCUUAACCUGGGGUUCCUGGUCGAGCUUUGGGAUCUAAAGACCUGCUGAAUAGCAUGCAAAAUUGGGAGGAUGAGUACUUUUCCAUGAGAAGGAGACAGUGCUUUCAUCUGAUUCUCAAAGGGGUCUGUGACCUAAAUAAGAUAAGGACCACUGUGAUCCUUGAUUCCCCACAGAAUCUGGAGAACUCGUAGGUAGAGUUGUUUCUGAGGCAAACGACCUUUGAUCAGGGCUGGGGUGUAUGUUGGUGAGCCUUGGUGCUCUUGCCCAAACCUGGCAACCCCUCCAAGGGCUGAUGUCAGUCCUUCCCCCCAAGAAACAGUUGAGAGUGAGACAGUGCGUAUGCUGACAGAACUGAGUGUGCUGAACGGAAAGGUUACAGAAACUUCUUGACAUCAGCUGAGAUGUCAGAGCUGAAGCUUUGGACAUACUCAAACAUCUUCCACCAAGAUGGGCUCUGUCCCCUGGGAGACUGAAGGAGCAGGCGAGCCAGCAAGCACUCGGUUAAAUGUCGUCUUAAUUUGGAAAGCGCAGGGGGACAUUUUUUUUUAUCAAUAGUCAGCCAUUCUCCAGCACUAGCAGCGCCACAACGCAGUGCUCACUUGGAGCCCGGGGGCAGUUUCGAGACUGACAGGCAGCCUCCCUGCCUGUCACCCAACUUCAGCUUGGCAGCUCACUGACCCUACCUCUCCUCUGACUGAAAUGAGAGGGAUAUGGCAACUACCACCCUUGGGACUCUGGAGAGAACACAGCAAGACAGGAACAGGACGGGAAGGGUUUCAGCACAGGCUCAGCCUGGCACACAGUGUGCACCUAGAAAAUAGAGAUAUGAGUGCGCUGCACAGCUUAAAACCCUGAGCUUUAACCAGUGUGUGUCUUGAGCCCUUACCUGCACAACGGGGCCUCAUUUAGUGCUGAGGAUACUGGAAUCCAAAGAAAAAGUCCCUGCUUCCAAGGAGCCAUCUGUAGGAGGAAGCCACAGGAGGGGACCAGUGGGGUGAGGCCCGUGUUCAGGGCAGCCCUGGAAAGGGAGUAAAGGGCAG
ensembl:lncRNA